AUUGAACGCUGGCGGCAGGCCUAACACAUGCAAGUCGAGCGGCAGCGGGAAAGUAGCUUGCUACUUUUGCCGGCGAGCGGCGGACGGGUGAGUAAUGCCUGGGAAAUUGCCCAGUCGAGGGGGAUAACAGUUGGAAUCGACUGCUAAUACCGCAUACGCCCUACGGGGGAAAGCAGGGGACCUUCGGGCCUUGCGCGAUUGGAUAUGCCCAGGUGGGAUUAGCUAGUUGGUGAGGUAAUGGCUCACCAAGGCGACGAUCCCUAGCUGGUCUGGGAGGAUGAUCAGCCACACUGGAACUGAGACAAGGUCCAGACUCCUACGGGAGGCAGCAGUGGGGAAUAUUGCACAAUGGGGGAAACCCUGAUGCAGCCAUGCCGCGUGUGUGAAGAAGGCCUUCGGGUUGUAAAGCACUUUCAGCGAGGAGGAAAGGUUGAUGCCUAAUACGUAUCAACUGUGACGUUACUCGCAGAAGAAGCACCGGCUAACUCCGUGCCAGCCGCCGCCGUAACAC
rnacentral:rRNA from 1 species